UGUCCGGCCGGGAGCCGCGCUCGAUGAUUCAUUGCCCCAAUUAGGGGUGCUCUCCUGCAAGCCCGGCGCGAGCCCUCUGAAGGGUCUCCUCGGGGACCCGCGGAAACCCAUCAGCCGCUAGAGCUGGUCUUUAAGUAAAGGUCAAGCAGGACGCGGGAGGAGCCAGAUGAGAAAGAAGAGACACUGAGCAUUAAGGUAGUCUUCAGGAGUGGCGGAGCUGGGAUUCAGGCGCCGGCAGCCGGCUCCAGGGCCCUGUUCUCAACUCCCCGGCUGUGCAGCGUCACUAAGCAAACGUCUGGUCCCCGUCAUCCGUCUGCUGAUGGAGACUGUCCACGGCAGGAGACACAGCCAGGACCUCUCCAUCCUCCCUGCCGCUCUGGCUCCAGCUGGGAGGCCUUGUGCAAAUCCAGGCCUCUCUGGGCCUCACAUUUCCCAUCUGCAAAAUGCCCACCCCUUCCAGCUUCAAAAAUCUAUGAGUCUCUGAUUUCUGAGCAGUGAACAGUCGUCCCAACCUGCCAGCUGGACCCCAGAGUCAGCCCGGCGACAAAGGUGCCAGGACUCAAGCGCGAUGGACUUGAAGAGCAGCGACAGAUGCUCCCAGGCGGCCCCGGCACUGGGAAUGGGGAGAAAACGCCCACCUCGGGUCUAUAGGAGACCAGGAGGCCGUGAGCCUGGAAUAUCCGGGCACCUCUCAAAUUUGCGGCUUCCUGUAGGGUCGUCUUGGCCCAGGAACUGCGGGAAUCUGCCCUCGCCCUGCGGGGGAGAGCAAAGCUUCCAGGCUCCGAGCACUCAUCACACGUUGGAUUAUGUGUCUGUCUCUGGGUGACUUCCCUCGCUGUGUCCCACAGCGUUACAAGGCCGGGGACAUAGCUGGGGCCCAAUCCAUGCUGAAACAUGGGAUACCAGACUCUAUCCAAAACCUCACAGUGCCUUCCAAGUUCCAGGAUCUCCUGCCAGCUUCCAGUCUUUCAUUCUUUUGAGUGCCAGCAAUCCAGACUAAAGCCUUCCAUGUGCCCCCAGCUCCCCGCACCAACCCUGCGGUACCUCACCGGUACCCUUCUCCGUUUCCUCCUCUCUCUACACUGCGAAAGGUCCUCUGGCUCCUCUCCCAGGACCCAUUCACCUUCGGAGGCUGGUCCAUCGUUCCUCUUUCAGAGGCUACGUGUGCUGUGUGUUGGCCUCUGGUUCACUGGGGACCAGAAAAACAAAAUUUAUCAUCUGACUGUCGUAUUUUUUUUUCUUUCCAUUUUUUUUUUUCCCGUAAGAAUGAAGCAAGCACUUCUCCUCUGUGCUCAGAAAGAGCUUCGAACAUGGCAGGCCACAGGCAAAAGCAUAUCCUCCUCCUCAGAGGGAAGGAAUGCAACCGUUAACAAUAAAAAAAAAAAAAAAAUCCCUGGGAUUUAUGGAGGCCUUGGGCUUAGGAGCUGCCUCACAUCCGUUAGCUUGUAAUGACACAGAGAUCCAGGGGGGGGCGAAGCAGGAUUCACCAGCUCCAUCUAAGAGACGGAGAAGCUGAGGCUGCAGAGCGCGGUUCUGGGGGACCAGGAGAAGCUCCCAGCUGCCGAGGCUGGUGAGAUAUCCUUGCCUUUGUAUGUGGAAACUGGGCUGAUUUGUUCACUGUAAACAUUAAAAAUAU